rnacentral:rRNA from 1 species
AUUGAACGCUGGCGGCAUGCUUUACACAUGCAAGUCGAACGGUAACAGGCCGCAAGGUGCUGACGAGUGGCGAACGGGUGCGUAAUGCAUCGGAACGUGCCCCGUCGUGGGGGAUAACUACUCGAAAGAGUAGCUAAUACCGCAUACGAUCUAUGGAUGAAAGCGGGGGACCGUAAGGCCUCGCGCGAUUGGAGCGGCCGAUGUCAGAUUAGGUAGUUGGUGGGGUAAAGGCUCACCAAGCCAACGAUCUGUAGCUGGUCUGAGAGGACGACCAGCCACACUGGAACUGAGACACGGCCCAGACUCCUACGGGAGGCAGCAGUGGGGAAUUUUGGACAAUGGGCGCAAGCCUGAUCCAGCAAUGCCGCGUGCAGGAAGAAGGCCUUCGGGUUGUAAACUGCUUUUGUACGGAACGAAACGGCGCUGGUUAAUACCCGGGGCUAAUGACGGUACCGUAAGAAUAAGCACCGGCUAACUACGUG